AUUUGAAUUCCAGGAUUUUCGUGCCGGUCCCAAAUCCCUUCAUUAGGCAAGGGAACUUCGCUCAAGUCUCUUUCACUCUUUAAUUCUUGAAAUAUUCUUUAUUCUUCCCAACAAUUAACAUUACAUGUCUCAACAUAGCGCAAAAGAAAAUAAUAAAAUUACCAUCGAGAUUUUUCCCAUAAAGACACAAUGAUUUGGCCUUGAUUCAUCUUAUACCCAUGUUUAAUCAUCACCGAAUUAAACUUCCCGAUUCCACUGUCGUGCGCUUGUUUCAAACCGUAAAGACCUCUUACCAAUUUACAAACAUAGCUCUCUUGCCAUCUUCUUGAAACCCCUCAGUGCUCCUGUAAAUCUCCUUUGUAGAUCCCUGUGAAGAAACCGUCUUCAUCAUCCAUUUUUUCAACUCUAGAUCAAGACUAAGCGGCUAACCCAAGCACGACUCGUAUAGAUGCAUCUUGACCACGGGAGCAAGAAAUUUCCCUAAAAUCACUCCUUUUCUUUGAGUAAAACCUUUUUACUACCAACCGAGCCUUAUUCGGGUUGUGAAGUCUGUUCAUCUGCUUCACACGUACAACACCCUCGAUUUUUCAACAACAUUUUUUGCCCUUAGGUAAUUUUACUAGCUCAAGGUAGUUGUUCUCCACGAAGGAUUGCAUUUCAUCUUCCAUGCUUCCCUCCAUCCUUUUGUUUCAUCUUCUAUUGCUUCUUUAAAACUUUCGAGUUCUCCCCUGUUCAGUGAGACAUCAUACUCAUUUGGUGGGUAUCGAGUGGAAGGACGUUAUUAACGAGUAGACAUUCUGGUCAUUGGCAACAAUAUGUUCCUCAAUAAUUUUGCAUUCUCAGCUCACCAAGCUCACCAUUAUUGUCUGCAUUAUCUCAACAUCAAUAAGAUCAUUAGUAUAGCAACCUGAAAUCCAGACCUUGAUUUUCUAUUGAACGUCAUCGGCAACCGUCGGUUAUUAAUAGAACAAUUGGGAACCGUAUCACAUCACCAUCUCUUUCAAUUUUCAGAAUAGAAACACCUUUUUUUCCGCCUUGGUCGAUAUCUCAUGGUUGGUCCUCCAUGAAUAUGACAUCUCGACACGAUAAGCUUCCUAUUAAUUGAUCAAAGAAUCGGUAAUCCAAACUCAUCAGUCCAUCCCCAACAGGAAACAAACCACACGGUUCUUGUUCUUGUCAUCUCUAACUAGCCCUCUCGUCUUUGGGAACAAGCACGAGCCAUACAUCCAAAUACUCGAAGAUGGUCAUAAGAGACAUCUUUACCACUUCAAAACACAGUUUGGCACUCAAAAUUCAAAGGCACACACGGUGUGAGAUUUUAGCACAUUAAACGACCGUACUCAAUGCUUCACCCCAAAAAUAUCUUGGUGGCAACAUUUGCUUGUGAACAAACAACACCCCUCAAACAACCCUUUUCCAAACACACCCUUUCCAUUUCCCAACCAAAGUCCCUAUUUCAUCCUUUUUCGUCAUAAUCCUUUCGUUCGGCCAACCCAUUCAAUUGUGUGUUUUUUUGGAGGCGACUUUUUGGUGACGAAUACCUUAACUCCCUGACAAUUACUCUCAUCAAAAGGCCCAUACUCCAUCAAAGGACCCAAUGAUGCUCCCCAUAUCUGUUUUCGGAUUACACUUUAUAAAAAAAACUUUUUUUUUUUUAACUUUUUUUUUUUUUUUUCCUUUCCUUUUUCCUUCCCUGUUUUUUUCCUUUCUUUCAAUCGAUGCUUGAAAAACAAUUUAAAGGGUAUCUUAGCACUUGAAUCUUUUUGUCUCAAAGUAUAAGGCCCAAAUAUUCGAGAAUGAUCAUCAAUGAAAGUUACAAAAUAUAUGCCCCACCAAGUCACCUAGUCUUCAUUGGCCCCCUCAUCGGAAUGUAUUAACUCAAGCAUUUCCUACUUCCUUCCCGUUAGUGUCGGAGAUUUAAAAUGAUACCCCCCCCGCCUUUGUUGCCAGCCAAACAAUGCGAAACACCUCUUCAAUUGUAACAUUGGAAAAUCCCGGAUAAGACAUUCUUUCUCUACAUUUCUUCUUAGCCAAAAUAGCCAAAACCCUUCUCACUUCAAUAUGACUCACUCCAGAGGCCCCAGCAGCUUGUGCGAUAACUCAAACUACUACUAUAACUCGGAGGAACUCAAUCAAUCAUCUUACAGAAUUGAUGCAAAUGCUGAAAUCCUGGUUCGAACAUAUACAAGUUUGAAUUGUUUUCCUUUCUUUCUUUUUCAAUAACCCUUGACCAAAUACCAUUGACACCGCCCCUUGGCCCCCCCCCCUUUUUUUUCUUUCCGCCCCUUUUUUCUCUUUCCCUUCCGCCCCACUCCCGAAAGGAAUUUAAUAAGCCCUCAUCAUCCAACUCCACUUGAUAGAAGAUUAAAAAAAGCGAAGAUCUAGACUGUGUUUAACAACCUUUUGAGAACUCGUGUGUAACCGUUACUAACAGUCUCAAAACACAAAUAUUUUCCAUUUUCCAUUUCCCAUUACAACAACUUUUGCUUGAUCACUAUUG
rnacentral:lncRNA from 1 species